UACGAAGGGGGCUAGCGUUGCUCGGAAUCACUGGGCGUAAAGGGUGCGUAGGCGGGUCUUUAAGUCAGGGGUGAAAUCCUGGAGCUCAACUCCAGAACUGCCUUUGAUACUGAGGAUCUUGAGUUCGGGAGAGGUGAGUGGAACUGCGAGUGUAGAGGUGAAAUUCGUAGAUAUUCGCAAGAACACAGUGGCGAAGGCGGCUCACUGGCCCGAUACUGACGCUGAGGCACGAAAGCGUGGGGAGCAAACAGG
rnacentral:rRNA from 1 species